rnacentral:rRNA from 1 species
AGUCGAACGAUUAAAGCUCUCUUCGGAGAGUGCAUAGAGUGGCGCACGGGUGAGUAGCACGUAAGUAAUCUACCUUCGAGUGGGGAAUAACGUUCGGAAACGGACGCUAAUACCGCAUAAUGCAGCGGCAUCGCGAGAUGACAGUUGUUAAAGGAGCAAUUCGCUUGAAGAGGAGCUUGCGGCAGAUUAGCUAGUUGGUAAGGUAAUGGCUUACCAAGGCUACGAUCUGUAUCCGGUCUAAGAGGACGGUCGGACACACUGACACUGAAUAACGGGUCAGACUCCUACGGGAGGCAGCAGUCGGGAAUUUUGGGCAAUGGGGGAAACCCUGACCCAGCAACGCCGCGUGAAGGAUGAAGUUUUUCGGAAUGUAAACUUCGAAAGAAUAGGAAGAAUCAAUGACGGUACUAUUUAUAAGGUCCGGCUAACUACGUGCCAGCAGCCGCGGUAAUACGUAGGGACCAAGCGUUGUUCGGAUCUACUGGGCGUAAAGGGCGCGUAGGCGGCGUGGUAAGUCACUUGUGAAAUCUCUGAGCUCAACUCAGAACGGCCAAGUGAUACUGCUGUGCUAGAGUGCAGAAGGGGCAAUCGGAAUUCUUGGUGUAGCGGUGAAAUGCGUAGAUAUCAAGAGGAACACCUGAGGUGAAGACGGGUUGCUGGGCUGACACUGACGCUGAGGCGCGAAAGCCAGGGGAGCAAACGGGAUUAGAUACCCCGGUAGUCCUGGCCCUAAACGAUGAAUACUUGGUGUCUGGAGUUUUUAGUGCUCCGGGUGCCGUCGCUAACGUUUUAAGUAUUCCGCCUGGGGAGUACGCACGCAAGUGUGAAACUCAAAGGAAUUGACGGGGACCCGCACAAGCGGUGGAG